rnacentral:lncRNA from 1 species
CCUAAACCUUGCUAAGAAAAAUGGUUUACGGAGAAACACCGAGAUCGAGCUAUGAUAACUUUCUUACAGCAAAGUAGAGCAGAGUCAGGCAAAAUAAAACAAAGCAAAGCUUUGGGAUGGCGGGGUCUCCGCACUUUUCUAACACGGUUAUGUAUCACAGCGAAGCAUAAAAAACAGUGUCUGAAAACGAAACUUAAAAGAAGUUUAUUGCAUAAUGCGAUGAUUCUCGAAUUCUGGUAUGAUGAAACCAACCUUAUUCUUGCAAAGUUUAUCAACUAUGAAAACUGAUGAUUUGUUGCAAAUCGUCACCAAAGUGCAUGGCAUAGGAAGAAAUUAGAAGCACUAGAACAUACUACUAUAAUAAGAGACUAGCAACACUUCCAAUACCUCAACCAUUACAAAACCUUGUUCCAACUACGUUACGAUGUGGGGCUUUAAAACAUGCGGAGAUUGUUUACAUGCGUUAAGGAAAAAACGAGGGGAAGUAGGUGGGAAAUUGUGGGCGUGCUAUUUAGAGGAAGGGAGUUUGAUCAGAUAUCACUGAAUGGAAACAACGAUGCGUUUUCAAAACCGUGUUGUGGAAGGUAGAGAAAUUGGAGGGGUUUAAAGUGUUUGAUAAACGAGAGUAUCGUUUAAAAAAUUACAUUUUUAAAAUGGACAUGUCAAUUUCAUACAAGUAUUUAUAUAUUAUGUAUUAAUAUAACGACUUCCGAGCUAGUUUACCUUUUUUUUAGAAUUUACCAAAUUGUUUGGGACCCUCGGUGUGCUUAACGACACGGAGAACGUUAAAACGAACGGUCUUGCUCAAAGGACGGCAUUGACCAACAGUGACAACAUCACCCUCGUUGAUACGGAAAGCAGGAGAGACAUGGGCAGCCAAGUUCUUGUGACGCUUCUCAUAACGAUUGUACUUGGGAAUAAAGUGCAAAUACUCACGACGGAUGAUGAUGGUACGGUGCAUCUUGGUAGAAACAACAGUACCAGUCAGAAUACGACCACGGAUGGAUACUUGACCAACAAAAGGGCACUUCUUGUCAACAUACUCACCGUAGAUAGCUUCGGCAGGGGUCUUGAAUCCCAAACCGACAUCCUUGUACCAACGACGUCCAGCGCCCUUCUUGGCGUUUUGGAAGAUGUGGGGCUGCUUCUGGAAGGCACGCUCACUUUGAACGACAAGCUCGGUAGCCAUUUUGGUUAGAUUCCGCUGUGUUGGUGAUGGACAAGCUAUUUUAUUGUGUAUUGCUUGUAGUGUAGUGGAUAAUUGUGACUGCUCAUUGCUUUUGAGCCCUACCCUACUUGCUUGCAAAGGUGUUUUGGAAGUGUACAUUAAAAAGAUUAGCCAAGUGGGAUAAAGGGCCAAGUGGGGACCAAGUAAUCCACAGUGUAGUUUUGCUUAUUACGAAAUUAUUUCAACUCUUGUUAUUGACCAUUGUUCAUCUUAAUCCUCAAAGUAGCAAUAGCGAGGUAGAGGAUUCAUCUUGAGAAUUUACAGAGUUGCUUUACUUCAUAUAAUUAUUGUUUGACCCAACGUGGAAAGAGAAUGAGCGGGCAAGCAUGUAAACAAAGGUAAGCAGUAGCAUUCAAGUAAACCUCAAUUCAUCCUGAAAUUUAAGAUCAGACGGUUUUAGUUUGAUGAAGGCAUCAAUCCAAUUUUGGGAAAUGAAAACCAAAUUGCAACAAAAUGGUGUUUUUUUUGCUUUAGAUAUAUUCAAAUUUUUUAUUAUUCUAUUGCCUAUUUAUUUUUUCAUCAUUAUAUAAUUUUCG